rnacentral:rRNA from 1 species
AUAGGCGAAAGCCUGACAGGGUUACUCUGAGUGAUGCCCGCUAAGGGUAUCUUUUGGCACCUCUAAAAAUGGUGCAGAAUAAGGGGUGGGCAAGUCUGGUGUCAGCCGCCGCGGUAAUACCAGCACCCCGAGUUGUCGGGACGAUUAUUGGGCCUAAAGCAUCCGUAGCCUGUUCUGCAAGUCCUCCGUUAAAUCCACCUGCUCAACGGAUGGGCUGCGGAGGAUACCGCAGAGCUAGGAGGCGGGAGAGGCAAACGGUACUCAGUGGGUAGGGGUAAAAUCCAUUGAUCUACUGAAGACCACCAGUGGCGAAGGCGGUUUGCCAGAACGCGCUCGACGGUGAGGGAUGAAAGCUGGGGGAGCAAACCGGAUUAGAUACCCCCGUAGUCC